GACGAACGCUGGCGGCGUGCUUAACACAAGCAAGUCGAACGGAAAGGCCCUGCUUUUGUGGGGUGCUCGAGUGGCGAACGGGUGAGUAACACGUGAGUAACCUGCCCUUGACUUUGGGAUAACUUCAGGAAACUGGGGCUAAUACCGGAUAGGAGCUCCUGCUGCAUGGUGGGGGUUGGAAAGUUUCGGCGGUUGGGGAUGGACUCGCGGCUUAUCAGCUUGUUGGUGGGGUAGUGGCUUACCAAGGCUUUGACGGGUAGCCGGCCUGAGAGGGUGACCGGCCACAUUGGGACUGAGAUACGGCCCAGACUCCUACGGGAGGCAGCAGUGGGGAAUAUUGCACAAUGGGCGGAAGCCUGAUGCAGCAACGCCGCGUGCGGGAUGACGGCCUUCGGGUUGUAAACCGUUUUCGCCUGUGACGAAGCGUGAGUGACGGUAAUGGGUAAAGAAGCACCGGCUAACUACGUG
rnacentral:rRNA from 1 species